AGAGUAAUAAAGAGACAAUUUGUGAGAUCUGAAAAAACAAUUAGUAGGCGGUUUAAUGAUGUAUUGCUUGCUAUUUUGAGAUGUCAUAAUCUCUUACUGAAGAAUCCUCAACCAUUUAGCCAGGAUAAAAAGGAUGAACGAUGAAAAUGGUUUAAGGAUUGCCUAGGAGCCUUAGAUGGUACUCAUAUCAAAGUCAAUGUCCUUGAGGCUGAUAAGCCUAGAUAUCGAAACAGAAAAGGUGACAUAACAACCAAUGUGCUUGGAGUGGUUGCUCCCGAUAUGCAAUUUAUCUACGUACUGGCGGGUUGGGAGGGUUCAGCUGCGGAUUCUAGGGUAUUGCGAGAUGC